UCAUUAUGAUGCUCCCGCUCCUGAUCCAUCUUUUUAGACCUGUCUAACAGAACCCAACUGGUUUUGUUUGGUGGACGCGUAAAAUCAUCGGAUUGACUCCUUUUGAAAAAUGGAAGAAAAUACGCAAGCGUUGCUCAACAGAGGUAAGGAGCAAGGAAAACGACAACUUGUGGAGGAUUAUACAAUGCUAACAAAGACAAAAAUUGUAACACGUUGUCCCACUCGAGCCCUGUGGCAGUAUUUUACAGUUCUGCAGAUCCAACCCAAGAAGGGUUUCACCACUACUGUAACUCGCACGCACCAACCUGUGAGGAAUCUGAGCGCAGAAAAGAGGAAACGCCCACGUCCGCGACGUGUUGAGUCACCUAGCCUGCCGCUAAAUGUAGCGGAGCCUCCGGUGGGGACUGGCAGCGGCGGAUAAGACGCGCACUCAGGAAGGAGUCGGAGAAACAAUGGAGGAUGGAUACGGUGCGGAGCUCACAUGGGUGUUGUUCCGCAUGAAUAUUCAAUGGCGCCUAAGAAUACACCAUUGUGCUCUCGUUAUGAAGAAACGAACUUCAGCAAAGAAGGAGGGGGGGGGGGGUUCCUGCUACUCCAUUUAACGCAAAUUCAAAACUUCAUUGCAUCAGACAGGUAAACUACUGAUGGAAUUAAUACUAAAUCACGUCUAUGUUGCUAGGCCGUUUUUGAGUGAUCGUACCAUGCCUGUCAUGACAUUGUAGAUUAUUUUCAUUGUUUAGUUUCCAUUGUGCAAAGUGGCGGUUAUUAAUAAACAUCACAUGCCAUUCACAGUGUCCUGUCUAGGUCGCACGCCGCCUCCGCUUGAACGACCGUAACG